AGAGUUUGAUCCUGGCUCAGAACGAACGCUGGCGGCAUGCCUAACACAUGCAAGUCGAACGUGAUCCGGGGCUUGCUCCGGUGAAAGUGGCGGACGGGUGAGUAACGCGUGGGAACCUGCCCAGUGGUCGGGGAUAACUGCGGGAAACUGCAGCUAAUACCCGGUAAGCCCUAUGGGGGAAAGAUUUAUCGCCAUUGGAGGGGCCCGCGUCGGAUUAGGUCGUUGGUGGGGUAAUGGCCUACCAAGCCUACGAUCCGUAGCUGGUCUGAGAGGAUGAUCAGCCACACUGGGACUGAGAUACGGCCCAGACUCCUACGGGAGGCAGCAGUGGGGAAUAUUGGACAAUGGGCGCAAGCCUGAUCCAGCAAUGCCGCGUGAGUGAAGAAGGCCUUAGGGUUGUAAAGCUCUUUCGGCGGGGACGAUGAUGACGGUACCCGCAGAAGAAGCCCCGGCUAACUCCGUGCCAGCAGCCGCGGUAAUACGGAGGGGGCUAGCGUUGUUCGGAAUUACUGGGCGUAAAAGGGCGCGUAGGCGGCGCGAUAAGUUAGGCGUGAAAGGCCCGGGCUCAACCCGGGGACUGCGCUUGAUACUGUCGCGCUGUGAGUCCGGGAGAGGAUGGCGGAAUUCCCAGUGUAGAGGUGAAAUUCGUAGAUAUUGGGAAGAACACCGGGCGAAGGCGGCCAUCUGGACCGGCACUGACGCUGAGGCGCGAAAGCGUGGGGAGCAAACAGGAUUAGAUACCCUAGUAGUCC
rnacentral:rRNA from 1 species